CACGUAGGGGGCAAGCGUUGUCCGGAUUUAUUGGGCGUAAAGAGCUCGUAGGCGGCUUGCAUAGUCGGUGGUGAAAUCCUGCAGCUUAACUGUAGAAGUGCCUCCGAUACUAGCAAGCUCGAGGGAGGUAGGGGUCUGCGGAACUUCUGGUGGAGCGGUGAAAUGCGUUGAUAUCAGAAGGAACGCCGGUGGCGAAAGCGGCGGACUGGACCUCUUCUGACGCUGAGGCGCGAAAGCUAGGGGAGCAAACGGG
rnacentral:rRNA from 1 species